AUUGUCACCUUCUGUCACCUACUGUCACCUGCUGUCACCUCCUGUCACCUACUGCCAAUCCUUGUCACCUUCUGUCACCUGCUGUCACCUAAUGUCACCUUCUACCACCUACUGUCACCUAUUGUCACCUACUAUCAUCUGCUGUCACCUAUUGUCUUUUCUUGUCACCUUCUGUCACCUUCUGUCACUCCUUGUCACCUUCUGUCACCCACUGUCACCUACUGUCACCUUCUGUCAUCUUCCGUCACCUUCCGUCACCUUCUGUCACCUACUGUCACCCACUGUCACCUACUGUCACCUGUCAAUCCUUGUCACCUACUGUCACCUACCGUCACCCACUGUCACCUACUCUUACUCUUUGUUACCUACUGUCAUUUUUUGCCAAUCCUUGUCACCUAUUGUCACCUCCUGUCACCUGCUGUCACCCAUUGUCCCCUUCUGUCACCUAUUGUCACCUACUGUUACUUAUUGUCACCUUCUGUCUCCUUCUGUCACCCACUGUCACCUACUGUCACCUAUUGUCACCUACUGUCCCCUACUUGCCACCUUCUGUCCCCUAUUGUCACCUCCUGUCACCAGCUGUCACCUAUUGUCACCUUCUGUCACCUAUUGUCAUCACCUUCAAUCACCCACUGUCACCUAUUGUCACCUACUGUCACCUCCUGUCAAUCCUUGUCACGUUCUGUCAAUCCUUGGCAGCUUCUGUCACCUAUUGUCACCUUCUGUCACCUACUGUCACUCUUUGUCACCUACUGUCACUUCCUGUCACCUGCUGUCACCUUCUGUCACCUAUUGUCACUUCCUGCCACCUUUUGUACCUUUCUGUCACCUCAGAAGAUUUCUCCCCUCACGUUUCCCGCCUUUUCUCAAUUUCUGUUUCUCACCUUUUUUCCGUCUCAUUUCUCAUCCUUUUCAGUUGAAUUUUUUGUCCUUUUUUCUUCCAUUUCCCGACUUUCUCCACUCACGUUUCCCUCUCUUUUCUCCCCUUACAUUUCCCCCCUCGCUUUUUCCAUCAUUUUUCCUGCUCACAUGUCCCACCUUUUCUCCCUUUUUCUUUCACACCUUUUCUCCUCAUUUCCCAUCCUUUUCAGGGAGUUUUCUGUCCUUUUGCCGUCCANNNNNNNNNNUUUUUUCUUCCAUUUCCCGGUUUUCUCCCCUCACGUUUCCCCCCUCAUGUUUUCCAUUGUUUUCCCCCUCACGUUUCCCACAUUUUCUCCCCUUGUUUCACACUUUUUCUUCCUCUCAUUUCCCAUCCUUUUUAGUUGAGUUUACUGUGCUUUUUGCCUUCUUUUUCCCGGCUUUUUCCUCUCACAUUUCCCGCUCUUUUCUCCCCUCAUGUUUCUCCCUCACAUUUCCCUUUUCUCCCCUUGUUUCACACUUUUUCUUCCUCACAUUUCUCAUCUUUUUUAGUCAAGUUUACUCCUUUUUGCCUUCCAUUUCCCACUUUUUCCCCUCACCUUUCCCACUCUUUAUCCCUUCGUGUUUUCCACUCUUUUCUCCCCUCAUCUUUUCUUCUUUUUUCUCCCCUCAUCUUUUCUUUUCUCCCCUCACAUUUCCCACCUUUUCUUCCUCUCAUUUCUGAUGUUUUUUGCUCAAGUUUACUCUCCUUUUUAUCUUCUAUUUCGAGGCUUUCUCCCCUCACAUUUCCUGCUCUUUAUCCCUUCGUGUUUUCCACCUUUUUCUCCCCUCACGUUUCCUACUUUUUCCCCUUUCCUUUUCGUAUCUUUUCUUUUCAUUUCCUGUCAUUUUCACUCAUUGACUGUCCUUUUUGUUUUCCAUUUCUUUCUCUUUUCUGCCCUCACGUUUCCCACUCAUUUCUCCCCUCACGUUUCCCUCUCAUUUCUCCCCUCAUCUUUCCCACCCUUUUUCCCCUCCCCUUUCCCACCAAUUCUUCCUUAAUGUUUUUUUUUUCCCUUACAUUUCCCACCUUUUUUCCCUCCCCU
ensembl:lncRNA